AACGAACGCAGGCGGCAUGCCUAACACAUGCAAGUCGAACGAGACCUUCGGGUCUAGUGGCGCACGGGUGCGUAACGCGUGGGAAUCUGCCCUGGGGUUCGGAAUAACUCAGAGAAAUUUGAGCUAAUACCGGAUGAUGACGUAAGUCCAAAGAUUUAUCGCCCAAGGAUGAGCCCGCGUAAGAUUAGCUUGUUGGUGAGGUAAAAGCUCACCAAGGCGACGAUCUUUAGCUGGUCUGAGAGGAUGAUCAGCCACACUGGGACUGAGACACGGCCCAGACUCCUACGGGAGGCAGCAGUGGGGAAUAUUGGACAAUGGGCGAAAGCCUGAUCCAGCAAUGCCGCGUGAGUGAUGAAGGCCUUAGGGUUGUAAAGCUCUUUUACCCGGGAUGAUAAUGACAGUACCGGGAGAAUAAGCCCCGGCUAACUCCGUGCCAGCAGCCGCCGUAA
rnacentral:rRNA from 1 species